AUUGAACGCUGGCGGCAGGCCUAACACAUGCAAGUCGAACGAGUGGCGGACGGGUGAGUAAUGUCUGGGAAACUGCCUGAGGGAGGGGGAUAACUACUGGAAACGGUAGCUAAUACCGCAUACGAUCAGAUGUGCCCAGAUGGGAUUAGCGAGUUGGGGGGGUAACGGCUCACCAAGGCGACGAUCCCUAGCUGGUCUGAGAGGAUGACCAGCCACACUUGGACUGAGACACGGCCCAGACUCCUACGGGAGGCAGCAGUGGGGAAUAUUGCACAAUGGGCGAAAGUCUGAUGCAGCCAUGCCGCGUGUAUGAAGAAGGCCUUCGGGUUGUAAAGUACUUUCAGCGGGGAGGCGUUACCCUCAGAGGAAGCACCGGCUAACUCCGUGCCAGCAGCCGCGGUAAUUC
rnacentral:rRNA from 1 species